GGACGAGUGGUGGAUCGGACGAGGACGGUGUGUCGGCGUUGUUCUACAGUGGUGCGUUACACUGCGGAUCUCUUUCUCCGGCUCACUCCGUCUCCCGUCCCGACCCCCAACCUCUGGUGAAGGAGAGCAGACCGUGAGACGUCCAGCAAUGUCCCCCAGCAGACCCUGCCUCCAUCCACCCUGGUGGCAGAGGAAGAGAGCCAGGUAGAGAGUGAACCAGCCAGCCAGUCAGUCCACCAGUCAGCCAGCAGCAGCCAGCCAGGAGGAGAAUGCUGAGGUCCGGGGCA